rnacentral:lncRNA from 1 species
GGUGGCUCACGCCUGUAAUCCCAGCACUUUGGGAGGCUGAGGUGGGUGGAUCACAAAGUCAGGAGAUCGAGACCAUCCUGACUAACACGGUGAAAACCCAUCUCUACUAAAAAUACAAAAAAUUAGCUGGGCCUGGUGGCAGGCACCUGUAGUCCCAGCUACUUGGGAGGCUGAGGCAGGAGAAUGGCAUGAACCUGGGAGGCGGAGCUUGCAGUGAGCCGAGAUCAUGCCACUGCACUCCUGCACUCCAGUCUGGGUGACAGAGUGAGACUCCAUCUCAAAAAAAGAAAGAAAGAAAGAGAAAAUCCUUAUACUAUGACUCUCACAAACAGGAUACCAAGUGAAAGACCCUGGACAAAAAGCCAUGCACACCAUGUGAAUCCAUACAUGUAACCUUCAAGAAGAGGCCAAUCCAAUGUAUGGGGAAGGAAGUCGGAACAGUGAUGCCUUUUGGGGGAACUGACUGGGAGAUGCAGAGGACACAGAGCCAAACCAUAUCACCACUUCCUGUAUUUGGACCCUCAUGGUGCCUGGCUGGACACAUGGAGACCAGGAAAGAGUUGCAAUCAUGGCCAAGUACUUGAGGAUCAUCAACACCUGGAAAAUCAAACAGAGAUGGACACAUUAGCCUUGUGGUUGUUGGAUAAGAUUAGAGCCUGCAGCCUGGUCACUGGUAAAGAUGCAGAGAUACCCAAGGCCUGAAUCACCUAAGUGAUUACUGAGCGCCUCUAGUAAGCUGAGUUCUGUGCUGUGCUCAUUAUAGAGGCAGAUGUUGCCUUUGGAACCAGUACAAUUGAUCCAAAGAGAAAAGCCUUCAAUGGGGAAGACACUGGAGAAUGACACACGGUUAGAACAAGCCCAUAGGCACUGCAAGGUGUAGACAGUCAGUGCUCUAGUAUGCCAGAGAAUGGGG